UACAGAGGGGGCAAGCGUUGUUCGGAAUUACUGGGCGUAAAGGGCGCGUAGGCGGCCUGUUAAGUCGAACGUGAAAUCCCCGGGCUCAACCCGGGAACUGCGUCCGAUACUGGCAGGCUUGAGUACUGGAGAGGAGAUUGGAAUUUACGGUGUAGCAGUGAAAUGCGUAGAUAUCGUAAGGAAGACCAGUGGCGAAGGCGGAUCUCUGGACAGUUACUGACACUGAGGCACGAAGGCCAGGGGAGCAAACGGG
rnacentral:rRNA from 1 species